GGACGCAUGGCUCAGUUGGUUAGAGCGCUCCGUUCACAUCGGAGAGGCCGAAGGUUCAAGUCCUUCUGCGUCCACCA
rnacentral:tRNA from 1 species